rnacentral:rRNA from 1 species
GUACACUCCUGCGGGAGGCAGCAGUGGGGAAUAUUGCACAAUGGGCGCAAGCCUGAUGCAGCCAUGCCGCGUGUAUGAAGAAGGCCUUCGGGUUGUAAAGUACUUUCAGCGGGGAGGAAGGCGAUAAGGUUAAUAACCUUGUCGAUUGACGUUACCCGCAGAAGAAGCACCGGCUAACUCCGUGCCAGCAGCCGCGGUAAUACGGAGGGUGCAAGCGUUAAUCGGAAUUACUGGGCGUAAAGCGCACGCAGGCGGUCUGUCAAGUCGGAUGUGAAAUCCCCGGGCUCAACCUGGGAACUGCAUUCGAAACUGGCAGGCUAGAGUCUUGUAGAGGGGGGUAGAAUUCCAGUUGUAGCGGUGAAAUGCGUAGAGAUCUGGAGGAAUACCGGUGGCGAAGGCGGCCCCCUGGACAAAGACUGACGCUCAGGUGCGAAAGCGUGGGGAGCAAACAGGAUUAGAAACCCGGGUAGUCCCAUGAU